rnacentral:rRNA from 1 species
CCUGCAAGUCGAGCGGUAACAGGUCCAGCUUGCUGGAUGCUGACGAGCGGCGGACGGGUGAGUAAUGCAUAGGAAUCUGCCCGAUAGUGGGGGAUAACCUGGGGAAACCCAGGCUAAUACCGCAUACGUCCUACGGGAGAAAGGGGGCUUCGGCUCCCGCUAUCGGAUGAGCCUAUGUCGGAUUAGCUAGUUGGUGAGGUAAAGGCUCACCAAGGCAACGAUCCGUAGCUGGUCUGAGAGGAUGAUCAGCCACAUCGGGACUGAGACACGGCCCGAACUCCUACGGGAGGCAGCAGUGGGGAAUAUUGGACAAUGGGGGCAACCCUGAUCCAGCCAUGCCGCGUGUGUGAAGAAGGCCCUCGGGUUGUAAAGCACUUUCAGCGAGGAAGAACGCCUAGUGGUUAAUACCCGCUAGGAAAGACAUCACUCGCAGAAGAAGCACCGGCUAACUCCGUGCCAGCAGCCGCGGUAAUACGGAGGGUGCAAGCGUUAAUCGGAAUUACUGGGCGUAAAGCGCGCGUAGGUGGCUUGAUAAGCCGGUUGUGAAAGCCCCGGGCUCAACCUGGGAACGGCAUCCGGAACUGUCAAGCUAGAGUGCAGGAGAGGAAGGUAGAAUUCCCGGUGUAGCGGUGAAAUGCGUAGAGAUCGGGAGGAAUACCAGUGGCGAAGGCGGCCUUCUGGACUGACACUGACACUGAGGUGCGAAAGCGUGGGUAGCAAACAGGAUUAGAUACCCUGGUAGUCCACGCCGUAAACGAUGUCGACCAGCCGUUGGGUGCCUAGCGCACUUUGUGGCGAAGUUAACGCGAUAAGUCGACCGCCUGGGGAGUACGGCCGCAAGGUUAAAACUCAAAUGAAUUGACGGGGGCCCGCACAAGCGGUGGAGCAUGUGGUUUAAUUCGAUGCAACGCGAAG